UACCGACCCCGCCGGCGUGGUCGACGAUUUCCCUCAUUCAGCGCUUAUCGCUAUCGACCCACUAGGGUCGAUUAAUUCUUUCAAAUAUUUUUUCCUCUCAGACGACGCCCUGAGCCGAGGUUCGCGCCCAACUGGGCACCCUCAGGCCUGUUGUCUUAAACGUUGUACCGGGUGAGAGCCUUCAGCGCUCCCCAUUUGUCCGGCCAAGUAGUUAAUGCCAUCUGCGGCAAAUCUACAAUAAGUCACGUCAAAAAAAAAAAAAAAAAAAAAAAAAAAAAAAAAAAAAAAAAAAAAAAAAAAAAAAAAAAAAAAAAAAAAAAGA